CCUACGGGAGGCAGCAGUGGGGAAUAUUGCACAAUGGGGGAAACCCUGAUGCAGCGACGCCGCGUGAGCGAUGAAGUAUUUCGGUAUGUAAAGCUCUAUCAGCAGGGAAGAAGAUGACGGUACCUGACUAAGAAGCCCCGGCUAACUACGUGCCAGCAGCCGCGGUACUACGUAGGGGGCAAGCGUUAUCCGGAUUUACUGGGUGUAAAGGGAGCGUCGACGGCGAUGCAAGCCAGAUGUGAAAGCCCGGGGCUCAACCCCGGGACUGCAUUUGGAACUGUGUGGCUGGAGUGUCGGAGAGGCAGGCGGAAUUCCUAGUGUAGCGGGGAAAUGCGUAGAUAUUAGGAGGAACACCAGUGGCGAAGGCGGUCUGCUGGACAGCAACUGACGCUGAGGCGCGAAAGCGUGGGGAGCAAACAGGAUUAGAUACCCGAGUAGUC
rnacentral:rRNA from 1 species